AUUGAACGCUGGCGGCAGGCUUAACACAUGCAAGUCGAGCGAGCGGCGGACGGGAGAGUAAUGUCUGGGAAACUGCCUGAUGGAGGAGGAUAACUACUGGACACGGUAGCUAAAAACGCAUACCAUCAGAUGUGCCCAUAUGGGAUGAGCUAGUAGGUUGGGUAAUGGCUCACCGAGGCGCCGAUCCCUAGCUGGUCUGAGAGGAUGACCAGCCAAACUGGAACUGAGACACGGGCCAGACUCCUACGGGAGGCAGCAGUGGGGAAUAUUGCACAAUGGGCGCAAGCCUGAUGCAGCCAUGCCGCGGGUGUGAAGAAGGCCUUCGGGUUGUAAAGCACUUUCAGCGAGGAGGCGUUACUCGCAGAAGAAGCACCGGCUAACUCCGUGCCAGCAGCCGCGGUAAUAC
rnacentral:rRNA from 1 species